GAAACCCCAUCUCUACUAAAAAUACAAAAAGUUAGCCGGGUAGGCUGAGGCAGGAGAAUUGCUUGAACCCGGAAGGCAGAGGUUGCGGUGAGCUGAGAUCAAGCCACUGCUCUGCAGCCUGGAUGACAAGAGUGAAACUCCAUCUCAAAAACAAAAACAAAAACAAAAAAACCCCGUUUUUUUGUAGAGAUGGGUUCUUGCUAUGUGCCCAGGCUGGUCUCAAACUCCUGGCCUCAAGUGGUCCUACUGCCUCGGCCUCCCAAAGUGCUGAGAUUAUAGGCAUGAGCCACCAUGUUUAGCCUAUUAUUUCUUUUAUUCAACCACUCUCUGUAGUAAUACUUCAUUUACCCUACCUUAUUAAGAAGCAGCAGUUCCUGAGACUUUUCAAGCAGAUUCAAGGAAAGUUAUCAGGGUCUUCAGUUUCUCACAUACCCAAGUGCUGGAGGCAAAGAGUAAGCAUUUCUUAGAGGACACCAAAACAGCAGACUUCUCUAAGAGUGGAAGUUAGAAAAUAGAGCAAGGGAUACUACACAGAGAUAGCCAGUGGAUGAAAAUUUCUGAAGUUGGCUCUUUGCCAAGCAACACUGUCAAGCCUUCGGCAGGAGGGGUACAGGGAUAUAAUACUCGUCAAAAACUCCAUCGUAUUAUGAGAAUCGGCACCAAGUUGAUCUGAAAUGCAUAUUUGAACAGAUGUGUUUAAAUUACAUCUCCGUCUAUCCACAUGCAUAAAUUCAGAGCAAGCGUGUGUUGAUUUAAAAUGCAUAAAAAAAGGGAUUUGGAGACGCAUCAAAAGUGAACAGCAUCUCAAUGGAUCAAGGCUCACAUUACGAAAGGUCAGUACUAAAAAUAAAGUUUGCAUUUAUUAAGGGUUGCACCAGGGGGCUGUUCAUGGGAACUGACUUAAUGUUUACUGCACAAAAUCAGCCACUGAAACUACACUAAUUUUUCACAACUCUUCCACAUACAACAUUAAAACUGUCAUGCAUGGACAGAAAAAAUGGAAUAGUAGACAACAAAAUAGAAAAAAUUAUAUGGCAUGUCUAGUGACUGACAUUAGUUCAUAUGGCUCAGUCCCCCAUGUUUCAAUCAUACUUUGCAUUUCUCUAAAAAAAAAUUUGAG
rnacentral:lncRNA from 10 species